UGCCAGCAGCCGCGGUAAGACGAACCGUGCGAACGUUGUUCGGAUUCACUGGGCUUAAAGGGCGCGUAGGCGGCUUGCCAAGUCUGGGGUGAAAUCCUCCGGCUUAACCGGAGAACUGCCUGGGAUACUGGCGAGCUCGAAGAGGAUAGGGGCCAUGGGAACGACCAGUGGAGCGGUGAAAUGCGUUGAUAUUGGUCGGAACGCCGGUGGCGAAAGCGCAUGGCUGGACCCUCCUUGACGCUGAGGCGCGAAAGCUAGGGGAGCAAACGGGAUUAGAUC
rnacentral:rRNA from 1 species